rnacentral:rRNA from 1 species
GGUAAUACGUAGGGCGCAAGCGUUGUUCGGAUUUACUGGGCGUAAAGGGCGCGUAGGCGGCGCGGUAAGUCACUUGUGAAAUCUCUGAGCUUAACUCAGAACGGCCAAGUGAUACUGCUGUGCUAGAGUGCGGAAGAGGCAACCGGAAUUCUUGGUGUAGCGGUUAAAUGCGUAGAUAUCAAGAGGAACACCUGAGGCGAAGGCGGGUUGCUGGGCCGACACUGACGCUGAUGCGCGAAAGCCAGGGGAGCAAACG